rnacentral:rRNA from 1 species
AAUAGAUACCCCGGUAGUCCACGCCGUAAACGAUGAGUGCUAAGUGUUAGAGGGUUUCCGCCCUUUAGUGCUGCAGCUAACGCAUUAAGCACUCCGCCUGGGGAGUACGGCCGCAAGGCUGAAACUCAAAGGAAUUGACGGGGGCCCGCACAAGCGGUGGAGCAUGUGGUUUAAUUCGAAGCAACGCGAAGAACCUUACCAGGUCUUGACAUCCUCUGCCAACCCUAGAGAUAGGGCGUUCCCCCCUCGGGGGACAGAGUGACAGGUGGUGCAUGGUUGUCGUCAGCUCGUGUCGUGAGAUGUUGGGUUAAGUCCCGCAACGAGCGCAACCCUUGAUCUUAGUUGCCAGCAUUCAGUUGGGCACUCUAAGGUGACUGCCGGUGACAAACCGGAGGAAGGUGGGGAUGACGUCAAAUCAUCAUGCCCCUUAUGACCUGGGCUACACACGUGCUACAAUGGAUGGUACAAAGAGCUGCGAACCCGCGAGGGUAAGCGAAUCUCAUAAAGCCAUUCUCAGUUCGGAUUGUAGG